GACGAACGCUGGCGGCGUGCUUAACACAUGCAAGUCGAACGGUGAAGCUCCAGCUUGCUGGAGUGGAUCAGUGGCGAACGGGUGAGUAACACGUGAGCAACCUGCCCCAGACUCUGGAAUAAGCGCUGGAAACGGCGUCUAAUACUGGAUACGAGAUCAAGCCGCAUGGUUAUGGUCUGGAAAGUUUUUCGGUUUGGGAUGGGCUCGCGGCCUAUCAGCUUGUUGGUGAGGUAAUGGCUCACCAAGGCGACGACGGGUAGCCGGCCUGAGAGGGCGACCGGCCACACUGGGACUGAGACACGGCCCAGACUCCUACGGGAGGCAACAGUGGGGAAUAUUGCACAAUGGGCGAAAGCCUGAUGCAGCGACGCCGCGUGGGGGAUGACGGCCUUCGGGUUGUAAACCUCUUUCAGCAGGGAAGAAGCGAAAGUGACGGUACCUGCAGAAGAAGCACCGGCUAACUACGU
rnacentral:rRNA from 1 species